UACGUAGGGUGCGAGCGUGUCCGGAAUUAUUGGGCGUAAAGAGCUCGUAGGCGGUGUGUCACGUCGGCCGUGAAAACCUGCAGCUUAACUGUGGGCGUGCGGUCGAUACGGGCAUCACUGGAGUUCGGCAGGGGAGACUGGAAUUCCUGGUGGUAGCGGUGAAAUGCGCAGAUAUCAGGAGGAACACCGGUGGCGAAGGCGGGUCUCUGGGCCGAUACUGACGCUGGAGGAGCGGAAAGCGUGGGGAGCGAACAGG
rnacentral:rRNA from 1 species